UACAGAGGUGGCAAGCGUUGUUCGGAAUUAUUGGGCGUAAAGAGCUCGUAGGCGGCCUGUUGCGUCCGCUGUGAAAGCCCGGGGCUUAACCCCGGGUCGCAGUGGAUACGGGCAGGCUAGAGGUAGGUAGGGGAGAAUGGAAUUCCCGGUGUAGCGGUGAAAUGCGCAGAUAUCGGGAGGAACACCGGUGGCGAAGGCGGUCCUCUGGGCCUUACCUGACGCUGAGGAGCGAAAGCGUGGGGAGCAAACAGG
rnacentral:rRNA from 1 species